AGUUACUGCUAUCGGGGUCCGACUAAGCCAUGCGAGUCGAGAGGGUAAAGCCCUCGGCGUAAUGCUCAGUAACACGCGGAUAACCUGCCCUUGGGUCCGGGAUAACCCCGGGAAACUGGGACUAAUACCGGAUAGAUCAAAGGUACUGGAAUGUUCUCUGGUCCAAAACUCCGGUGCCCAAGGAUGGGUCUGCGGCCUAUCAGGUUGUAGUGGGUGUAACGUACCUACUAGCCUACGACGGGUAAGGGUUGUGAGAGCAAGAUCCUGAGAUGGAUUCUGAGACAUGAAUCCAGGCCCUACGGGGUGCAGCAGGCGCGAAACCUUUACACUGCGGGAAACCGCGAUAAGGGGACCCCGAGUGCCAGCACCUAGUGCUGGCUGUCCCGCUGUCUAAAUAACAGUGGUUAGCAAGGGCCGGGCAAGACCGGUGCCAGCCGCCGCGGUAACACCGGCGGCCCGAGUGGUAGCCGCUAUUAUUGGGUUUAAAGGGCCCGUAGCCGGCCUAUUAAGUCUCUUGGGAAAUCUGGCGGCUUAAUCGUCAGGCGGCCAAGAGAUACUGGUAGGCUUGGGACCGGGAGAGGUGGGAGGUACUCCAGGGGUAGGGGUGAAAUCUCGUAAUCCUUGGGGGACCACCGAUGGCGAAGGCAUCCCACCAGAACGGGUCCGACGGUGAGGGACGAAAGCUGGGGGCACGAACCGGAUUAGAUACCCGGGUAGUCCCAGCUGUAAACGAUGCUCGCUAGGUGUCAGGUGCGGUGCGACCGCAUCUGGUGCCGCAGUGAAAACUUGAAGCGAGUCACCUGGGAAGUACGGUCGCAAGGCUGAAACUUAAAGGAAUUGGCGGGGGAGCACUACAACGGGUGGAGCCUGCGGUUC
rnacentral:rRNA from 1 species